UUACGGCCAUAUCACGUUGAAAACCCGGUUCCCGUCCGAUCACUGAAGUUAAGCAACGUCGAAUCUGACUAUUACCUAGAUGGGUGACCGCUUGGGAAUAGCAGGUGCCGUAAG